CAUGCAAGUCGAACGGAGCCAAGAGGAGCUUGCUUUUCUUGACUUAGUGGCGAACGGGUGAGUAACGCGUGAGUAACCUGCCCUGGAGUGGGGGACAACAGUUGGAAACGACUGCUAAUACCGCAUAAGCCCACGAUCCGGCAUCGGAUUGAGGGAAAAGGAUUUAUUCGCUUCAGGAUGGACUCGCGUCCAAUUAGCUAGUUGGUGAGGUAACGGCCCACCAAGGCGACGAUUGGUAGCCGGACUGAGAGGUUGAACGGCCACAUUGGGACUGAGACACGGCCCAGACUCCUACGGGAGGCAGCAGUGGGGGAUAUUGCACAAUGGGGGAAACCCUGAUGCAGCGACGCCGCGUGGAGGAAGAAGGUUUUCGGAUUGUAAACUCCUGUCGUUAGGGACGAUAAUGACGGUACCUAACAAGAAAGCACCGGCUAACUACGUGCCAGCAGCCGCGGUAAAACGUAGGGUGCAAGCGUUGUCCGGAAUUACUGGGUGUAAAGGGAGCGCAGGCGGACCGGCAAGUUGGAAGUGAAAACUAUGGGCUCAACCCAUAAAUUGCUUUCAAAACUGCUGGCCUUGAGUAGUGCAGAGGUAGGUGGAAUUCCCGGUGUAGCGGUGGAAUGCGUAGAUAUCGGGAGGAACACCAGUGGCGAAGGCGACCUACUGGGCACCAACUGACGCUGAGGCUCGAAAGCAUGGGUAGCAAACAGGAUUAGAUACCCUGGUAGUCCAUGCCGUAAACGAUGAUUACUAGGUGUUGGAGGAUUGACCCCUUCAGUGCCGCAGUUAACACAAUAAGUAAUCCACCUGGGGAGUACGACCGCAAGGUUGAAACUCAAAGGAAUUGACGGGGGCCCGCACAAGCAGUGGAGUAUGUGGUUUAAUUCGAAGCAACGCGAAGAACCUUACCAGGUCUUGACAUCCGAUGCAUAGCGCA
rnacentral:rRNA from 1 species